rnacentral:rRNA from 1 species
AGAGUUUGAUCCUGGCUCAGGAUGAACGCUGGCGGCGUGCUUAACACAUGCAAGUCGAACGAAACACCUUAUUUGAUUUUCUUCGGAACUGAAGAUUUGGUGAUUGAGUGGCGGACGGGUGAGUAACGCGUGGGUAACCUGCCCUGUACAGGGGGAUAACAGUCAGAAAUGACUGCUAAUACCGCAUAAGACCACAGCACCGCAUGGUGCAGGGGUAAAAACUCCGGUGGUACAGGAUGGACCCGCGUCUGAUUAGCUGGUUGGUGAGGUAACGGCUCACCAAGGCGACGAUCAGUAGCCGGCUUGAGAGAGUGAACGGCCACAUUGGGACUGAGACACGGCCCAAACUCCUACGGGAGGCAGCAGUGGGGAAUAUUGCACAAUGGGGGAAACCCUGAUGCAGCGACGCCGCGUGAGCGAAGAAGUAUUUCGGUAUGUAAAGCUCUAUCAGCAGGGAAGAAAAUGACGGUACCUGACUAAGAAGCCCCGGCUAACUACGUGCCAGCAGCCGCGGUAAUACGUAGGGGGCAAGCGUUAUCCGGAAUUACUGGGUGUAAAGGGAGCGUAGGCGGCACGCCAAGCCAGAUGUGAAAGCCCGAGGCUUAACCUCGCGGAUUGCAUUUGGAACUGGCGAGCUAGAGUACAGGAGAGGAAAGCGGAAUUCCUAGUGUAGCGGUGAAAUGCGUAGAUAUUAGGAAGAACACCAGUGGCGAAGGCGGCUUUCUGGACUGAAACUGACGCUGAGGCUCGAAAGCGUGGGGAGCAAACAGGAUUAGAUACCCUGGUAGUCCACGCCGUAAACGAUGAGUGCUAGGUGUCGGGGAGGAAUCCUCGGUGCCGCAGCCAACGCAAUAAGCACUCCACCUGGGGAGUACCGCCACCGAUACCCUCUCCCGCCUCAUUGGAGAGACGCCGGUCCUUCGGCUGGACUGUCUCCCGGAUGAGAGCGCCGUAAAGGCCCUGGAGGAAUGUUUAUGAGCCGACAGAACAACGCCCUUCCCCAGAUGGUAGAGCCCCUCUGGUCCACCUACAUCCACCAGAAGGGGGCCCGGCUGGGUCUCCCGGUGACCGGAACCUUCGAGUUGACCCCCCGGUGCAACUUCAACUGCAACAUGUGCUAUGUCCACCAGACCGAGGCCCAGGCG